rnacentral:lncRNA from 1 species
UAUAAAGUAAAUAAUGAGUAGAAUAAUAUUAAACAAACUAUUGGCUGUAAAAUAGAAACUAAAAUAAUUAUAAGAAGAAUUCCUAGUCGACGAAAUAGUUAGCUAUAGUAAUGUAAUUGAUCAUACAUGCAAGGGUACAUUUUAACCAAAAUAUGGCAAAUCAGUUAUAGUUGUCAGAAAUGUUCCGAUAACCAAUCCUUCUUUAUUCCUAGACCAAUCAAGAAAUGUUCAUUAGUUAGUUCUUUGCUACCAAGUAAUCAUGGAAACACCCACAGAAUUUAACAUGUCAAUAGUUUUGAGUGCUAGAAGGACCUUAUUCA